GUAGUCACCCGGGUUGCCGCAAGGCCUCUCGGGUAACCUACCACCCUUUGUUUAUUACACUUUGUUGCUUUGGCAAGCCUGCCCUCGGGCUGCUGGCUCCGGCCGGCGAGCGCUUGCCAGAGGACCACAACUCUGUAUUAAAUGUCGUCUGAGUACUAUAAAAUAGUUAAAACUUUCAACAACGGAUCUCUUGGUUCU
rnacentral:misc_RNA from 1 species